AAGUUGCUUAGGAUUUAGAGUAUAAUUUGAUUAAUGUUUCAAAUGAUUGAUCUUUUCAUUUAUGAUUACAUCUAGAAGUAUUUGUUUUCUACUAGUUUGGAUAGAAAAAUAAACUUCUUUCUUACUGUUAGGAUGUGUGCACCUCUGGAAGAGAUUUAUUGACAUAAGUGAUCAUAAAUUAGUUUUAUAUUUAAUAGGUAAGAACUGAAAACUAAAAGCAAAGAUUCAGUCAUGUUACAAGUGAUCAUACUUACCUAAACUAAACUGUAGAACCAAUGAAAACAACUUGAAAAAUCCAACCAUGGAUGUCUGCAUAACUCAUAUUUCUCCUCUGGGACAUCCUUUCUUUACUUCAAUUCCCAUCCUCCAUUUCCUCUUCAUAAGAAAUCAACAUUAAAUAGUUGAAUAUUCUUUUGUCCCUGGACUUCCAUUGUAUUUUUACACUCAAUUUUGAACCUUAUCAACGAUAAUUUUCUUUUCUCACUAUCCCAACCCCACAAAAGUAACUAAAUUUGACUAGUCCUUCUUUCCAUACUAGGUAUUUUAAAGAGAAAAAUCAAGAGUAGCAUAGUAAUUUACAAUGUCUUAAGAGAUUCUCUAAAUU
rnacentral:lncRNA from 1 species